GCCUUAUGGUGUAAUUUGUGGUGUCUCUGGAAUAGCUUGAUACACAAUGAAACGUCACUAUUGCGCAUUCGUAAUGCGAAGGUCGGGGGUUCGACUCCUCUUACCGGCACCA
rnacentral:tRNA from 1 species